UGAACAACUCUCGGCAACGGAUAUCUCGGCUCUUGCAUCGAUGAAGAACGUAGCGAAAUGCGAUACUUGGUGUGAAUUGCAGAAUCCCGUGAACCAUCGAGUCUUUGAACGCAAGUUGCGCCCGAGGCCUUCUGGUCGAGGGCACGUCUGCCUGGGCGUCACGC
rnacentral:rRNA from 1 species